rnacentral:rRNA from 1 species
GACAGAGGGUGCAACCGUUGUUCGGAAUCACUGGGCGUAAAGCGCGUGUAGGCGGCUUCUCAAGUCGGGUGUGAAAUCCCAGGGCUCAACCCUGGAAGUGCAUUCGAAACUGGGUAGCUAGAGUACUGGAGAGGAAGGUGGAAUGCUUGGUGUAGAGGUGAAAUUCGUAGAUAUCAAGCGGAACACCGGUGGCGAAGGCGGCCUUCUGGACAGAUACUGACGCUGAGACGCGAAAGCGUGGGGAGCAAACAGG